rnacentral:tRNA from 1 species
GCGGGGUUGGCGAAAUUGGUAUACGUAGCGGACUUAAAAUCCGCCGCCUCACGGCAUGCGGGUUCAAGUCCCGCACCCCGCACCA